rnacentral:sRNA from 1 species
UAAGCCCAUGUGGCGGGUAGCCAUCAUA